rnacentral:sRNA from 1 species
GCGGGGCUUCCGGUCGGGCGGGUCCGCCCGCUCUCGCGUCCUUUGCUGGGUCCAGACACCGGUUCCGUUGCAAACAUUUUUAAAGGGCUGGUUAUUCUUCGUGAAAUGAGUUUGGUGAUUAGAAAUCUGCAGCGAGUCAUCCCCAUCAGGAGAGCGCCACUUCGCAGUAAGAUCGAGAUUGUAAGGAGGAUUUUAGGAGUGCAGAAAUUUGACCUGGGGAUCAUCUGUGUUGACAACAAGAAUAUUCAGCACAUUAAUAGAAUCUACAGAGAUAGAAAUGUCCCAACCGAUGUGCUUUCUUUUCCAUUUCAUGAGCAUCUGAAAGCAGGUGAAUUUCCCCAGCCUGAUUUUCCAGAUGACUACAAUUUGGGAGACAUUUUCCUAGGAGUGGAGUAUAUCUUCCAUCAGUGUAAAGAAAAUGAAGAUUACAAUGACAUCCUGACUGUAAGCGGGGAUGCUGAAAUCAUAUAACCUGGCUCAUGGAACAUGGGCCUUGCAAAGGGGUCAAGAUCACAACCCUGCAUCCAUGUGUGUCCGUGGGUACCGUAAGGGCUACUGGGGGAAGAACCUGUAAGCAGGGUGUGAGGAGCACCCUGGCUGGGUAGGGACUGCAUGCCCCAUGCCACAGUUGAAGGAGGGAGAGAACACGCUGUGAAAACACAGAAGCUCCCAGAGAAGCCUUCUCAGCUUUUAUCUCUGGAGUAGAGCAGACUAUGUUGAGCUAACACAGACCUGCUGGAUCAGCUUCUUUCUGAGCUGCCAGAAGUACAGAGGUUGGAGCCUCCACCACCUUCCAGAUCUGUUUCUCCUCAGUGUAAUCCACCUAUGGGUUCUUCCUGCCCACUGCACAGACAAAACCAAUUCACUGCAAUUGCGGUAUUGCAGUAAAGAGUUUAACACAGAGCUAG